rnacentral:misc_RNA from 1 species
GUGAAUCAUCAAAUCUUUGAACGCACAUUGCACUCUCUGGUAUUCCGGAGAGUAUGUCUAUUUGAGGGUCAGUUUAAAUAAUAUUCGGUGUGGUUGCUGCCUUUCGUGGUGACGUACCGGAUUUGGGUUGUCUUGCCUUCGGAUAAAUGACAUGAAAUUUUGCAUGAUUUUUUCGAUCGUAUUUGAAUGACUUUACGUACGUUUGCGAUAUUGAA